rnacentral:rRNA from 1 species
CCUGACUGCUAUCGGAUUGAUACUAAGCCAUGCGAGUCAUUGUAGCAAUACAAGGCAGACGGCUCAGUAACGCGUAGUCAAUCUACCCUAUGGACGGGAAUAACCUCGGGAAACUGAGAAUAAUGCCCGAUAGAACAUUAUGCCUGGAAUGGUUUAUGUUUCAAAUGAUUUAUCGCCAUAGGAUGGGACUGCGGCCUAUCAGUUUGUUGGUGAGGUAAUGGCCCACCAAGACUAUUACAGGUACGGGCUCUGAGAGGAGUAGCCCGGAGAUGGGUACUGAGACACGGACCCAGGCCCUAUGGGGCGCAGCAGGCGAGAAAACUUUGCAAUGUGCGAAAGCACGACAAGGUUAAUCCGAGUGGUUUCUGCUAAAGAAACCUUUUGUCAGUCCUAGAAACACUAACGAAUAAGGGGUGGGCAAGUUCUGGUGUCAGCCGCCGCGGUAAAACCAGCACCUCAAGUGGUCAGGAUGAUUAUUGGGCCUAAAGCAUCCGUAGCUCGUUUUGUAAGUUUUCGGCUAAAUCCAUGCGCUUAACGUAUGGGCUGCCGGGAAUACUGCAUAACUAGGAAGUGGGAGAGGUAGACGGUACUCGGGAGGAAGGGGUAAAAUCCUUUGAUCUCUUGAUGACCACCUGUGGCGAAGGCGGUCUACCAGAACACGUUCGACGGUGAGGGAUGAAAGCUGGGGGAGCAAACCGGAUUAGAUACCCGGGUAGUCCCAGCUGUAAACUAUGCAAACUCAGUGAUGCAUUGGCUUAUGGCCAAUGCAGUGCUGCAGGGAAGCCGUUAAGUUUGCCGCCUGGGAAGUACGUACGCAAGUAUGAAACUUAAAGGAAUUGGCGGGGGAGCACCACAAGGGGUGAAGCCUGCGG